GUGUGUUCUCAUGUACCUAGGGGUCUUUAAUACUGCAGCUGACAAGUUGUCUCGCUUUGAAUUCCAGGCAUUCAGAGAGACGUUAGCCACGGCCUCCCCUACAGCAUCACAUUUUCAGGAGCUGGUGAUGGACUGAAAGAAUUGGCAAGGCAUAUUCUUGCCUUGGCUAGUCUAGCCCUAUCUGACAAUACUAAACGGUCUUACGAUAGGACCUUCAAAC